AGCCCAUGGUGUGGACAUCUUCUAAGCAAAUUUUUAAAUCAUUUCCAAGCCUCAUAUAAGGAUUCACCAUCAACUUGUGUGAAUGAGGCUAUAUCAUGCCUCAGCUU
rnacentral:snoRNA from 1 species